UGAAGGUGUGACAGAGACGCUGGAGCCCAGCGCCAGACAUGAAGGCCAAGGCACUCAGGGGUCUCAGGAGCAGGGGGACUGGGAGGAGGCCGCAGCGGAACUUUGCUCCACAGCCUGCCAGUGAAUGUUGCCUUGCGCCUGCACGGUUUCCAUCAGAAUCAAGGCCAACUUGCAAACAGAGCGGCCUUACGGGAAGUGUGAGCCAGACGAGGCUGAGAGCGAUGCGCCCUGACUCGAGCUCCGGUGGCAGCCUGAAUGCUCGCAAGGAACAGCGGCCAAGUGCCAGGUGUAGGACAGGAGCUGGGCCCAGCGCCUCUUUCUGCGGGGACGAUGUGAGUCUAGAUGUCGGGGUCUUGGGUCCGACAAGGACUGCUCUGAGGGGCCUGUUUGUUUCCUGUGUUUUCUCCCUGCCCAGUGUGUGCUGCCAGCUCAGGCUGUGGAUCUGCUGUGGCAGUAGCUGUGGAUGCAGAGUCUCCAGGCUGCUGCUCGGAGAGAAGCCCCUUCCGUCUUCUGAGCCCAAGGGAGGGUGGACACACGGAAGGAAGCAGCACCAAUGCCGGGGUCCUGGUAGCAGGCCCACUGGAAGACUUGCUGCGGGCUCCACAGCGCAUCUCCAGUGGAGCAGGGAUGCCGGGAGGAGACACACACCGCCCAGAGGAAUGGCUUCCACAGCCGGGCCUGCGCAGCGAAGCUUGCCCUGAAGGGGACAACUCUUUCACAGGCUGUCCUGUCAGUGGAAGGCACAGCCACUGUGUCAGCGGGGGACUCGGCACGACACGCCUUCUCGCCAGUGUGGCCAUCUGCGUGAGAGCCAGGCGCCCUCUCCCACCCUGCAGGAGUGACGGGUGCCAUCCGUCGGUCACCUCCCAGAGGAUGCACAGACAGGAGGCGGUGUGCACACUCCUGCCACAGCGCUCUGCUCUCCCCGGGACCUAGAGGAGUACUCAAG
rnacentral:lncRNA from 1 species